GGGGACCCCAGGGGUGUCACUGGGUGUCACUGGGGUGUGGGGGGGUGUCAGCGGGGACCCCAGGGGUGUCACUGGGUGUCACAGGGGUGUCACAGGGUGUCAGCAGGGACCCCAGGGGUGUCACUGUGUGUCACAGGGGUGUCCCAGGGGAGUCAAGGGGACCCCAGGGGUGUCACUGGGUGUCC